CGCGGGGUGGACCAGUAGUAGGUCGUCAGGCCCAUAACCUGAAGGUCGUCGGUGCAAUUCCGACCCCCGCAA
rfam:Candidatus Wolfebacteria bacterium RBG_13_41_7 RBG_13_scaffold_34614, whole genome shotgun sequence.